GGAAGCGUGGCAGAGCGGUUGAAUGCACCGGUCUUGAAAACCGGCGAUGGCGCAAGUCAUCCGUGAGUUCGAAUCUCACCGCUUCCGCCA
rnacentral:tRNA from 1 species